rnacentral:rRNA from 1 species
UACGAAGGGGCUAGCGUUGUUCGGAUUUACUGGGCGUAAAGCGCACGUAGGCGGAUCGUUAAGUCGGGGGUGAAAUCCUGGAGCUCAACUCCAGAACUGCCUUCGAUACUGGCGAUCUUGAGUCCGGAAGAGGUGAGUGGAACUCCUAGUGUAGAGGUGGAAUUCGUAGAUAUUAGGAAGAACACCAGUGGCGAAGGCGGCUCACUGGUCCGGUACUGACGCUGAGACGCGAAAGCGUGGGGAGCGAACAGG